CACCGACGCCGCGCGCCCAGAUGGCGAGUCAUACACUGGACGUCCUCGCGUGAAUGUCCUUGGCCUCCCAUCGCGUCGGCGACGCUGUGGACCUUGGCAACAUCCGUCAGGGUGUACAUGCCCUCGCCCGCGCAGUAUCGUUCGACGGCUACGCCCGCGCCUCCUGGAAGUGGCAAACGCUUUGACCCGACGCACACGGCAUGGUCCUCCAAGAGCGCGCGCGUCGUAUCCGACAGCACCACGCCGCAGUGGGCUGCCGCGUCGGCGACCGUCGCCUCGUAGACGGGCAGGCGCAGAGGAACGAUUGUGUUUGGUCCGUUGGCCUCCCCAAAGCGGUGUGAAUGGUAGAUGCGAUCGAUUUCCUUACGGCACGGCGAUCCCUUGGAGCAUAGAUUGUCCAUAUCGGCUUCAAGUAUACGAAAGUCUCCCCACGUAUCCUUGCAUCGUUGACGAAACACCCUGCCGAUGAAUCCUCCCGCUCCAUGGCCGCUGCCUCGGUUGGCCAGACAAAAAGAUCGCUCCUUGAGGUCGCGCACGGUCUCGGCUCGUCUCUUUGUAAAGGCCCGCCGUUCCAGCCACGACCAGUCGUAUCUUUCACCAUAGAAUCCGUAUCGUCGAUCCCCCGUGUCGUCGCCCAUCGCUGUUGCCAGGGUGGCGCUACUACCGCGUCAGUGUUGUCGGUGGUGUGGCUGUUGCCGCCUUUUUGGAUGAAAGAAAAAUUAGUGUAAAAAAAAAAGGUUUUUA
rnacentral:lncRNA from 1 species